rnacentral:rRNA from 1 species
GACGAACGCUGGCGGCGUGCUUAACACAUGCAAGUCGAACGGAAAGGCCCUGCUUUUGUGGGGUGCUCGAGUGGCGAACGGAUGAGUAACACGUGAGUAACCUGCCCUUGACUUUGGGAUAACUUCAGGAAACUGGGGCUAAUACCGGAUAGGAGCUCCUGCCGCAUGGUGGGGGUUGGAAAGUUUCGGCGGUUGGGGAUGGACUCGCGGCUUAUCAGCUUGUUGGUGGGGUAGUGGCUUACCAAGGCUUUGACGGGUAGCCGGCCUGAGAGGGUGACCGGCCACAUUGGGACUGAGAUACGGCCCAGACUCCUACGGGAGGCAGCAGUGGGGAAUAUUGCACAAUGGGCGGAAGCCUGAUGCAGCAACGCCGCGUGCGGGAUGACGGCCUUCGGGUUGUAAACCGCUUUCGCCUGUGACGAAGCGUGAGUGACGGUAAUGGGUAAAGAAGCACCGGCUAACUACGUG